UACGUAGGGGGCUAGCGUUGUCCGGAAUCAUUGGGCGUAAAGAGCGCGUAGGCGGCUAGAUAAGUCCGGUGUGAAAGUCACAGGCUCAACCUGUGAAUGCCGCUGGAAACUGUCUGGCUAGAGUCCGGAAGGGGCGAGUGGAAUUCCCGGUGUAGCGGUGAAAUGCGCAGAUAUCAGGAGGAACACCGGUGGCGAAGGCGGGUCUCUGGGCCGAUACUGACGCUGAGGAGCGAAAGCGUGGGGAGCAAACGGG
rnacentral:rRNA from 1 species